rnacentral:rRNA from 1 species
AUUGAACGCUGGCGGCAGGCCUAACACAUGCAAGUCGAGCGGCUGCACAGUGAUUGCUUCUGGUUUCAGCUGCCGACGGGUGGGUAGUGCCUAGAAAUCUCCCUGUUUGUUUUGGCUAGCGUCCUGAAGCGGGCGCUCUUACCCCAUUCGUCCUGACGGAGUACGUGUGGGAUCUUCGGAUCUCCCGCUCUCAGAUGAGCCUAUGUCGGAUUAGCUAGUUGGUGGGGUAAAGGCCUACCAAGGCGACGAUCCGUAACUGGUCUGAGAGGAUGAUCAGUCACACUGGAACUGAGACACGGUCCAGACUCCUACGGGAGGCAGCAGUGGGGAAUAUUGGACAAUGGGCGAAAGCCUGAUCCAGCCAUGCCGCGUGUGUGAAGAAGGUCUUCGGAUUGUAAAGCACUUUUAUUUGGGAGGAAAGGCAGUAAGUUAAUACCUUGCUGUUUUGACGUUACCAAAAGAAUAAGCACCGGCUAACUUCGUG